rnacentral:rRNA from 1 species
UGGGGGAUAUUGCACAAUGGGCGAAAGCCUGAUGCAGCGACGCCGCGUGGGGGAUGAAGGCUUUCGGGUUGUAAACCUCUUUCGCUAUCGAACAAGGCCCGCUUAGGGUGGGUUGAGGGUAGGUGGAGAAGAAGCGCCGGCUAACUACGUGCCAGCAGCCGCGGUAAUACGCAGGGCGCGAGCGUUGUCCGGAAUUAUUGGGCGUAAAGGGCUUGUAGGCGGCUUGUUGCGCCUGCUGUGAAAACGCGGGGCUUAACUUCGCGCGUGCGAUGGGUACGGGCAGGCUUGAGUGUGGUAGGGGUGACUGGAAUUCCAGGUGUAGCGGUGGAAUGCGCAGAUAUCUGGAGGAACACCGAUGGCGAAGGCAGGUCACUGGGCCAUUACUGACGCUGAGGAGCGAAAGCAUGGGUAGCGAACAGG